rnacentral:rRNA from 1 species
UAUUCCCCACUGCUGCCUCCCGUAGGAGUCUGGGCCGUGUCUCAGUCCCAAUGUGGCCGUUCAUCCUCUCAGAUCGGCUACGCAUCGUCGCCUUGGUGGGCCGUUACCUCACCAACUAGCUAAUGCGACUUGAACCCAUCCCAAUGUGAUGUAACCCAUCUUUAAUAAUAUCGAGAUGCCUCAAUAUUACCUAUCCGGUAUUAGCUGUCUUUUCAGACGGUUAUCCCAGUCAAAGGGGCAGGUUGUUCAAGUAUUACUCACCCGUUCGCCACUAAGUAUCCGAAGAUACUCCGUUCGACUUGCAUGUAUUAGGCACGCCGCCAGCGUUCAUCCUGAGCCA